UGACUGCUAGAGAUAAGACAU
rnacentral:piRNA from 1 species